AGGAACGAGAGGGAAGAAAGUGAGAGAGAGAGAGAGAGAGAGAGAGAGAGAUUGCCAGGAUGGCCCUGACUUCCUCCCAGCGUGGCCACUGUGGCCGGCUUCUCUCGCCGGUGCCUCGAUAUCCACCCAGAACAGAAUGCAGCGGGGUGUGUGUGUGUGGAAAUCCUCCUCAGCAUUGUCCAAAUUGCAGCGACUUCCCUUGUUCUACUGGUUUUGCUUUGAAAUGUCGGAGGGACAUGAGCAUUUUCAUUUAGAGGGGCAAACUGCACGGUGUUUUUGUUUAUUUGAACCUGUUUCUGUUAAAUAAAUGCUGGAGUUGUUCUCCCUGGA